UGCAGGACCUUAUAUAAAAAUAACAUUUGGGAGUCAAUUAGCUUGAACUACUUUGGCAGAUGUCAGUGUUUUUUCCCACAUUAUUAGCCUCGAAGAGAAGAUCUUACAGAGGCAUGCAAUGCUCUAGGCAUUUCAGCAAGUGGAUCAUUAAUAGGCUUGAUGAGCUGUUGUUGUAUCAGGAUAUAUAUCCCAAAAUGUUUGUGAAGCUUCACAAUUACAAGCAUGGUCCCGAAUGGAAAACAGACAUUGAGGGAAGCAUGUUGAAAAAAAAUUAGAUGCAGGAGUUUAAUAAAAGUAAAUAAAGAAUAAAAAAACUUAAACAGAAUCCAUGAAAAACUUAUCCAAACUUUCCACUUGUGAAAAAACUGAGAAGCAAUGAACAAAGUAGCUGCAAAGGUUUUUAAACAAGCACAGGAAACACCAAAAAACAAAAGACUGAAACUAAAGCAUCAAUAUUACAUUCAUCUAUCAUAACCAUUUUGCCAAUUGCCAUGAUUGAUAAUGAAUCAUAGACAUUGUUUUUUCCCCACAGGAGGGGUAAUGCAUCUUUGGGUGCACCCAUGGUGUGGAGUACUAUCAUUCACCCCUAUGGUGGCAGGAAUCUGCUCGAGAGUUUAAAUUUUCCACCCACAGUAUUCAUCUCUGAUACAGCUGGACGUGUCGCCAGACAUGUCACUAAUAGGACUCACCAAAACAUUUUCCAGCCACAUGAUGGCAGGUUAUGUGCUCCAACAGCAGAAAACAUUUCUGCUGCAUUGGAAAAAAAACUUAAAGUGCAGCAGGAGUGGGUAAAACCCCUCCAAAGCUCUAUGGGGCCAAAGAUAAAUGAAGACAAAACCACUGACAGAUUCACAUGCCCUCACACUCUCACUGGAACUAGUGAACUAGUGAACGGUAGUCACUUUAUGACUGUUUUCAUGAAAAAAGACAAAAUAGGCCAGAGGAGAGACUGAGGAGCAUAAAACUAUUGCUAGAUCUUGCCUCUAUUGUUAAUUCUGCUUCAGCAGAGCAAACUAACAAAGAGCUGUCAACCAGCCGGUACUUCCUCUGCCAACUGAAGGACAGUCACUACAUGUUCUCCUUGCGGCUGUAUUUCCAUUUCCAGCGAAUCAACGGUACCUUCUUGCAGGACAUUAAAAAAUGUCCAAUAAAGAUGUGCACCUAGGGAUACAUGGACUGGGGCGCUGUAAAGGGCCGGGGGGGGAGUGGAACGAUGACGAUUCUCGGGGCCCAUGACUAAGAGGGGGCCCAGAGAAGCCCCCAAUAAAAUUGUGGUGCUAAAAAAAAAAAUUGAUAGUAAAAAUUAUUAACUUAAAUUAUUCUAUUUGCUGUUUCCUGGUGUCAAAAAAAUGUAUUUGUUUAGGAAACACAAACAUCCGUGGGCCCCUCUCCCCCUCUCGAUUAUCAUGAAAUGGUUCAGUCCGCCCAAAUUGUAUCCAGUAACCAAGGCAACACAAACAGCUUGACUUCACUUAUAGCGCCGGCAGAUUCAACUUGACAGAGGAUGUGAAAAUGCCUCCAAAAUCUGGAAGUCCAAAUGAAAAGAGAAAAAAAUAAGAGAAGUGAAAGAGGCAAAGGGUCGACAGUAUGUUACCCAAUAUUUCACAAGAAAAGGGGGGUUUGUAAGUAGGCCUAAAUUGUUAGUGGAUCGCCUGUGACAAUGAUCGUAGCCUGUGCCACUUUUCAGUGCGUACGCACGCUUUGUACAUGAGGCCCUAGGUCUCUACGGUAGCAUUUUUGGAUAAGUUAGCACGUUUCGAUAGAGCAGGGUGCACGGCUUUACCUCACAUGCAGUCGGUGUCGCCAUCUUUGUACGAGGCGGCGCCCACUUUCAGCUCCCUGCUCCGGUCCACGCUGUUGCACCUGUCUUACAAACAGUCUAACUUCAUGAACUCUGAUAAAAAUCCUCUGCCAGCUGCUGUACAAACUACUAUCAGCUGUCUGUGAGGUUUCAGUGCAUCUCUUGAAGAUGAUGUGGAGUUGUAUUACUACAAUGUCCCCUAUAUUGUAAAAUACAGCAUGAUUCAUCUCUGCCAACCAUCUUCACAUAAUACUUUCACAUUAUCUGAUCCAGACCGUCGGCAAAACUCAAUUUAAACCGCGCAAAAUGACUGCCUGUGGAUGUUAUAGGUAGAACUUAUUAUAUUUGUUUUUAUUCACACCAUAAAUAUUUAAACUAGUUUUAAUGAAAAUUCAUGUAGUUUUAGGAAAAGUCUCAUACAUAAAAUCUUGUCGGCGUACAUGCUGCACAAUCAAGUCCAGAUGUAUCCACCUUUUUUGGCUGCAUAAAUCGCCUGUACACAUUUGUAAGUAGCAGCCCUUAGCGCUGGGCAAUCUACAAAGAGCAAACCGGUUCCUCUGAAACCCGCUGGAGUGCAAGGAUUGAGGCUGUUAAACCUGUGGCAAAGCACCUACCUUCUGUCAUCAAUGCACUUGAUAGCAUACUAAUGACUAGCAGUUUCACCAAUGAAGCAAGAUCAGUACUAAUGGUCUCAGACAAUACUUCAUGUCAUUUGAUGCUAUUCUUCUUCUCACCAUCUGGCUGAGAGUACUGCAAAGCAUUGAUGACAGGAAUGUUAUUCUCCAGUCAGGGAAAAUCUCACUUGACAUAGAGGCAGCCAAUAUCAGUCUUGACAGAAGAGAUGCAGUCUCUGAGAGAUGCAUGGGGGUCUCUCCUAGCUGAGGCAAAAGCUAGAGAAGCUCAUGUUACUCCUCAGUUAAGUGAGGAGUGCAGUCGCAAGAAGAAAAGAAAGCGAUUCCAUGAUGAAACCUGUGAAGAGGAGACACCUCAGGAAGAUUCAGAAACAGAGUUUCACUGCUAUGGAUCGUAUCAUCAGUGACUUAGACACUAGGUUCCAGAGAAUUGCUGAUAUUGUGAACGAGUUUUAUGCGUUUCUGAAAGUUGGGCAGAUUAGUGAGGACGAAAUCUCUUCUGUGUGCCAACCACUGAUCACGAAGUAUUCCAGUGAUCUAACUCCUGAUUUUGAAAAUCAAGUAAGACUCCUAAACCGUGUGUAUGCUUCCAACGUCCCCCUAACCUGUCACCUCUUCAACUCCUAAAUGCUAUUUGUAAGCUGCAGCUGCAAAGCAUCUUUGGAGAAGUGUGCAUUGCUUUGCGUUUAUUUAGCACACUGCCAGUGACUGUUGCUGGUGGGGAAAGGUGAUAAAACACUACUUGAGGUCUACAAUGUCUCAAGAAAGUCCUUGCAGUCUUGCUAUGCUUUCCAUUGAGAGCGAGUUGGCCAGAGAGCUCGACUUCAUAGAUUUGAUUAAUGAUUUUGCAGCUGAAAAGUUCAGACGCUGGACUUUUGUUUAGAAAUGUUGAGCAAGUACAAGAGAUUAGAAAUGAUGUGGAAAGAGUAACUCCGACUCAUCUAUGUUAUACCUUGGCCAUUCUUUGAUAUAGUAUAUUAUGCAAGUUCUGCUUAAAUUGUUAGAAACUUUAGAUGGCCAUUUUGUUUUAUGGUGGUGUUUUCUUGCUGAGAUUUUUUUUUCACCACAGACUGUAAUUCCUGUUUUUUUAAAUUGAAGAGUUUUAUUUAGAAAUUUCAGUAUCAGUGUUGAAGCAAAUAAAUAUAAAUACAUUUCAUUGUAUUAAGAGUGCUCAGUGUUUCCGUUACAUUUCAACUGUCAUGUUAAAAAUAUUAGGUUAGAUUAGAUUAACUUUAUUGUCAUUGCAAGUGUACAGUACAAAUAUGUACAGUACAGCCAUACAAAUAUAAAUAUAUGUGAAUACACUAUAUGACACAUGUACAGCUACAUUAUACAGUACUGAAGUAGUGCAGUAUUACAGAGGACAAAUUACAGGUGUGGACAUGGGAUGGAGUUCAAUCGUCUGACUGACUUAAAUAUAUGAGAAUGAUAGUCAAAAUACCAUAAAAGCGCAUGAUUUUAUGUAAAUUAAUAUUAAAAAACUCUCAGCUGUGUUUGGGGCCCUGUCAAGAUUCUUUUCAUGGGGCCCAAAAUCCUUAGCAGCGCCCCUGUACAUGGACACCAAGUGUGAAGGAUGAAACAAACAAAGAUAAUGUAAGUCAUUAAAUAAAAGUUCAUGGAGUACUACAAAGGCUAUUAACAUACUGUAUACUUAGUUUUAUCUCAAUUCUAUGUCAUAUCAUUGCAGAAAUGUACCAAAGGACAUCUGUAAAGUAAACUGACCUGCAAGCUGAACAUGAAAAAGUAGUUUCACUGUGUCAUAGUUUCCUAUAAGUGAACAAAAUAAGGUACAUACUGACUUUUAUAUGAGAUAAACUUAAAAAAAAAAUGUUUAUAUUAACCAAAACUACAUCUCUAAUAUUUAAUGCUUCGAUAUAAUAAAUGACCUCUGAACUACAGGAAAGCUGAAACAACUUUACAUUGCCUGGAGGAGAGAGAGAGCAGUAAUUCAAAGAUUUUCAGCUUAUGCGACUCUAUGUAUUGCGAACUUGAGAAGUAUUUGCCCCGCUUCUCUUUUAGAGGAAGAUAGAAACAAGAAUAUGCCUUGGUUAACUGACAAUGCUGUGAACUGUCGUAUUGCUCAAAUUGCUGCAGAAACUCAGAAUGUCGUUGCCUUGAACACAGAUGUGAACAUUUUGUUGUAGAGAGUGGACACACACAAAAAAAACAUCACAUGUGCAAGAUCUUCAGAAUGCUCAAAAGAUCCUGCUUCCAAGAAUUGUUGGGGGUAAUACACCAGAACUAGGAAACCACUUUAUAUUCUGGGUAAUGUCUGCAAAAACCUGGUUAUAGUGCUGUAACACUGUCUUGAUAUGUUGACUCUAACUUUUCAGAGGAUCAUUUUGCAGGUUUCUGACACCUUUGCAAAACAAGUGCAUAUUUAUGAUCCAAUGAGGAUAACUAUGGACUCUCUCUUUUCUAGCACUUUAAAUACAGUUGCUCCUUUACGCUUAAGGAAGGUUAAGGAAAACAGUUUGACACCAUGGUAUAAUGAGCAUACUCGCACCCUAAA